rnacentral:lncRNA from 1 species
CCGAACCAGGAAGCACCAAGCAAGCAAUCAAGCGCUGGGGUCGUUGAUCCUCCCUUACCUCUGACCGAGAACGCUCGCCAAGAACGCGUCUUGUUGUGAUAACUACUUCAGUAUGUGCUCCGGACCUCGCAAGCCGUCGACCCCGCCGCUGCCGGCGGCGACGGCCAAGGAAUCGGCGGUGAUGGCGGCGCUGCUCCUGGAGCUGGCGGCGGCGGACGACCUCGUGGCGUUCAGGCGCGCCGUGGAGGACGACAAAGUCUCGGCCUUGGACGCCUCGUGCCAGUGGUACGGGCCAUCCGCCGCGUCGGGUGCCCGGCUGCGCCUCGAGGUGCGCACGCCGGCCAUGGUCGCCGCGCUCUACGGGAGCACGGGGGUGCUUGCGUACGUGCUGUCCGCCGCGCCGGCGGAGGCGGCGCGCGCGUCGCCCACGGACGGCGCCACGCCGCUCCACCUCGCCGCGGCGGGCGGCGCCGCGGGCGCCGUCGCGGCCGCGCACCUCCUCCUCGCCGCGGGCGCGUCCGCGGACGCGCUCGCUUUCUCGGGCCUCCGCGCCGGGGACCUCCUCCCGCGCGCAAACGCCGCUGCCGAGAGGGACAGGGCGCUCCGCGUGCUCCUCAAGUCCCCCGCGGCGUCGCCGUCGUCUUCCCCCAAGAAGUCCGCCUCGCCUCCCCUCGCCCCGGAGCCGAGGAAGGAGUACCCGCCCGACCUCACGCUCCCGGACCUCAAGACCGGCCUCUUCAGCACCGACGAGUUCCGCAUGUACAGCUUCAAGGUGAAGCCCUGCUCCCGCGCCUACUCCCACGACUGG